AAUUUUAUAACAAGUGACACAUCACAGCAUUCCUGCUCCCCGUCCUCUCAGCCGAGGCUGUCUGUUCUAUGAAUGUCAAGUAGGUAACGGAAUCGUGUCCUUAGGUGAGGUAUGGUGGGCUGCUGGCUGGGUGAAUGAAUGCGGGAGGAGAAGCUGUGAAAUGUUCCGGCUGUCUCCUUUUCCUUCUGCCAUCACGUGGAAACGCCCUUCCUUCUCUCCGCAAUCUUGGCAGGGAAUACAAUGUGACUAGCUGCUUCAAGUUCCUGCCUUGAUUUCCCUGAUGUAACCUGGCAUUACAAGCCAGAUAAGCCCCUCCUUCUCUAAGUUGCCUUUUGUCAGGGUAUUUUUUAUCACAGUAGCAGAAAUAAAACUAUAACACUUCCCUCCUA